UGCCCUUUCCACUACCGAAGCAGAGUAUAUUGUAGCUAUCUCUACUGCAUGUCAUGCUGUUUGGUUGCGUGGAUUGUUAAAGGAAUUAAAUCAGAAACAAAUAACUCCUACGAAGAUUUCUGGGAUAACAAAUCAACUAUUUGCUUGACUAAGAUUUAGUCUUUCAUGGGAGAAGUAAACACAUCGACAUCAAAUUUCAUCACAUUCGUGAGCUUGUCAAAGAACAGGAAGUAGCUGUUGAAUUCUGUAAAUUUGAAGAUCAAUUGGCCGAUGUUCUUACAAAGUCAUUGAAAGCUGAAUUUUUUUUACAAGUUGAAGAACAUGAUGGGGAUGAUUAGUUUUGAGAAUUUGAGUUUAAGGGAGGCUGCUGGAAAUUAAACUCAAACGUCCCUUUUUCUUUUAGUUGAGCCACAUUGAUGUUGAAUAAGUCCUUACAGGUUAUUCGGAAUUUAUUUUUUCAGUUUAUUGUUAUGCUAAUAAAGUAGGGCUUUAGUCGGUCAAUUAACUGUGUUUU
rnacentral:lncRNA from 1 species